GGCUUACUUGGGCUUGGUGCAUUUUGGUAUGAAUGAUUCAUAACUGCCCCUUGGGAUGUGUGGAUUCUCAUGAACUCUUCCAAUAACAUGAGCGCUUUUAUCAUCUCUGCCAUCUCUUCUCUUUUAGACAUCAGUAAUCAUGGACCCAUUCUUGGAGCAGAGAAUCGAGUAAAUUUCUCAAGUACAAGUUCACACUCAGUAUGUUUCUGCCAGUAUCAGCGUGGUUCAUUAGCUCUCAUGAAUUUCUUUCGACCCUGGUAUGCUCUAGAGAUGUCUCCAUGACUAUAUUCUUCACUGUAGCAGAACAACUCUCAUCAAUGUGUUCGCACGUCUCCUCAGUCCAUGCAGCCAGCUUUUCUUCCAACUUCUCUUCUUGUCUCCAAUAAAGUCGACGUCAACAAGAAUGGGCAAGUCUGAACGUACCUCGGAGCCUCAGCAUUAAUCUGAUGACAGGUAGUUCUUCCACUGUAUGCCCUUUCAGAUUCUGGAAACUGACCCGUGAACUCAGGUCUUUGGGCAGCAACAGUAUCUCCAACUUACACAGCUUCCCGAACCAAAGACUUAAGCCAAUCUCCACAUAGGGCGGCAGCCCCUCCAUCAUACUGAUCCACCAACAGAAUUCUGCCCAGUUACAUUGGAUCCACCAGCCGCAACAAGCCUCAUGGUACACACCAGCAUUCUACCUGGAUUCCAACCGACAUCAGUAAUCAUGGACCCAUUCUUGGAGCAGAGAAUCGAGUAAAUUUCUCAAGUACAAGUUCACACUCAGUAUGUUUCUGCCAGUAUCAGCGUGGUUCAUUAGCUCUCAUGAAUUUCUUUCGACCCUGGUAUGCUCUAGAGAUGUCUCCAUGACUAUAUUCUUCACUGUAGCAGAACAACUCUCAUCAAUGUGUUCGCACAUCUCCUCAGUCCAUGCAGCCAGCUUUUCUUCCAACUUCUCUUCUUGUCUCCAAUAAAGUCGACGUCAACAAGAAUGGGCAAGUCUGAACGUACCUCGGAGCCUCAGCAUUAAUCUGAUGACAGGUAGUUCUUCCACUGUAUGCCCUUUCAGAUUCUGGAAACUGACCCGUGAACUCAGGUCUUUGGGCAGCAACAGUAUCUCCAACUUACACAGCUUCCCGAACCAAAGACUUAAGCCAAUCUCCACAUAGGGCGGCAGCCCCUCCAUCAUACUGAUCCACCAACAGAAUUCUGCCCAGUUACAUUGGAUCCACCAGCCGCAACAAGCCUCAUGGUACACACCAGCAUUCUACCUGGAAUCCAACCGACAUCAGUAAUCAUGGACCCAUUCUUGGAGCAGAGAAUCGAGUAAAUUUCUCAAGUACAAGUUCACACUCAGUAUGUUUCUGCCAGUAUCAGCGUGGUUCAUUAGCUCUCAUGAAUUUCUUUCGACCCUGGUAUGCUCUAGAGAUGUCUCCAUGACUAUAUUCUUCACUGUAGCAGAACAACUCUCAUCAAUGUGUUCGCACGUCUCCUCAGUCCAUGCAGCCAGCUUUUCUUCCAACUUCUCUUCUUGUCUCCAAUAAAGUCGACGUCAACAAGAAUGGGCAAGUCUGAACGUACCUCGGAGCCUCAGCAUUAAUCUGAUGACAGGUAGUUCUUCCACUGUAUGCCCUUUCAGAUUCUGGAAACUGACCCGUGAACUCAGGUCUUUGGGCAGCAACAGUAUCUCCAACUUACACAGCUUCCCGAACCAAAGACUUAAGCCAAUCUCCACAUAGGGCGGCAGCCCCUCCAUCAUACUGAUCCACCAACAGAAUUCUGCCCAGUUACAUUGGAUCCACCAGCCGCAACAAGCCUCAUGGUACACACCAGCAUUCUACCUGGAAUCCAACCGACAUCAGUAAUCAUGGACCCAUUCUUGGAGCAGAGAAUCGAGUAAAUUUCUCAAGUACAAGUUCACACUCAGUAUGUUUCUGCCAGUAUCAGCGUGGUUCAUUAGCUCUCAUGAAUUUCUUUCGACCCUGGUAUGCUCUAGAGAUGUCUCCAUGACUAUAUUCUUCACUGUAGCAGAACAACUCUCAUCAAUGUGUUCGCACGUCUCCUCAGUCCAUGCAGCCAGCUUUUCUUCCAACUUCUCUUCUUGUCUCCAAUAAAGUCGACGUCAACAAGAAUGGGCAAGUCUGAACGUACCUCGGAGCCUCAGCAUUAAUCUGAUGACAGGUAGUUCUUCCACUGUAUGCCCUUUCAGAUUCUGGAAACUGACCCGUGAACUCAGGUCUUUGGGCAGCAACAGUAUCUCCAACUUACACAGCUUCCCGAACCAAAGACUUAAGCCAAUCUCCACAUAGGGCGGCAGCCCCUCCAUCACACAGAUCCACCAACAGAAUUCUGCCCAGUUACAUUGGAUCCACCAGCCGCAACAAGCCUCAUGGUACACACCAGCAUUCUACCUGGAAUCCAACCGAUCUGUAUACACAGUAAAAACGGAGGGAAGUGUGUCCAUGUUCAGUUUAUCGAUUGACAGCUCUAUAAACUUUCUAACAGUUCACAGUACAAAGAGACCCACUCCAGGUUAGAAUAUGGCAGUCAUUCAUCCUGUUGGAAUUCUUGU